rnacentral:rRNA from 1 species
CACGUAGGAGGCGAGCGUUGUCCGGAAUCAUUGGGCGUAAAGAGCGCGCAGGCGGCUUGGCAAGUCGGGUGUGAAAUCCCGGGGCUCAACCCCCGUGACUGCAUCCGAUACUGUCAGGCUAGAGGUAGGUAGGGGAGAUCGGAAUUCCUGGUGUAGCGGUGAAAAUGCGCAGAUAUCAGGAGGAACACCGGUGGCGAAGGCGGAUCUCUGGGCCUUACCUGACGCUCAGGCGCGAAAGCUAGGGGAGCGAACAGG